GGUUAAGUGACUAAGCGUACACGGUGGAUGCCUUGGCAGUCAGAGGCGAUGAAGGACGUAUUAACUUGCGAUAAGCCCAGAUUAGGUAGUAAAAACCAUUUGAGUCUGGGAUUUCCGAAUGGGGAAACCCAAUACCAUAAGGUAUUACUGUUGAGUGAAUACAUAGCUUAACAGGGCGAACCGGGGGAACUGAAACAUCUAAGUACCCCGAGGAAAAGAAAUCAACCGAGAUUCCGAAAGUAGCGGCGAGCGAAAUUGGAUUAGCCCUUAAGCUUUACACGCGUUAGACGAACGGUCUGGAAAGUCCGACGAUACAGGGUGAUAGUCCCGUAGUUGACGACGUGUGUUCAGUGAAAUCGAGUAGGGCGGGACACGUGAUAUCCUGUCUGAAUAUGGGGGGACCAUCCUCCAAGGCU
rnacentral:rRNA from 1 species